UUACUACUCCCUUCGUCCAACAAAAGAUGUCUCAAAUUGUCAAAAAUUAGAUGUAUGUAGACAUGACUUAGUACAAAAUGCAUUCAAAUUUAGUUAAAGUUGAGACAUCCUUUAUUGGAGGAGGGAGUAGUAC
rnacentral:pre_miRNA from 1 species